AAAAAAAAAAAAAACCACAAUGGCAGAAAUAAAAAAUUCAGUAGAAUGCUUGGGAAUUUGGGGAAAUCUAGAAAGUGCAGCAUAAAAUAAAAGAGGUGGGAAAAUGCAAGACAAGAUCGAAGCAGAGCAGUCUAGAAGGGACACCACCCCAGUAGCUGGAGUUCCAGGAUUGGAACCAUCAUCGCCAUAACUCACGGAAACUUCCCAAGUUUGAAGGUGUGAGUUAGUUUCCAAGUGGCAACUGUGAAGUACCCUUUCCUUGCACUGCUAGGUUUGUGUUGCUGCCCAAAAAAUGUUUGUUCAGGGAAAGAUAUGUAGGUGGUAAAAACUAAACUAAAAACAAAGAAAUGAUUAACACAAAAGUCAGGAUGGAGCUUACUCCUAACUGGGAGAAGGGAGGGCUGUGAUGAGUCCCACAGGGGCUUCUGGGGGUGGUAGGAGGAGGCUUCACUGGGUUACUCUUCUUAAUCUCUACGCAUACAUUUCACACUGCCCUGUGUAUAACUUCAAAAAUCUGUAUGUUAACAGCCCUUGUCUUUGUCUUCUAUGAAAGGAAAUGUGUCCAAGGACUAAAGAACCUGGACUAGGAAACAAAUCCUGGUGAAAGCACGAAGGUGGCACUAACUAGAUUUGUGAUCUUGAACAAAUAACUGCCUUCACUAGUCUGAGUACCAGUUUAUUAAUUUAGAAUAAAGAAGUUGGACUAGUUUAUCCCCAAAUAUUCCUUUGAGUCCCAGGUUCCACAAUGCCAGCUGAACUAUAACCAAGAAUGACAGCCUAUGCUGUCUCCAUGGAGCCUAAAAAAAAGAAGAAGGACCUUCUCUCUCCUCGGGCCUCUCACCCCAAGGCUAUUAGUGAUGCUCAAAAACCAGAGAAGGUUCAAGCUUAAAAGCAACUGAAGAAUCAUGCAGUUCAAGCUGCUCACAGGAGCAGUCCUUUGAAAUUGCGUGUAUCCCAUGGAAAGAUUCUAAGUUAGAUUCCUAAGAUGGAAUGGAAGUAGGCUCUGAAUACACACACCUCUCAAGUUUCAUUGAGAUGAAUGUAAUCAGUAACAGAUUGGCCAGGUUCUUGCAAGCUGAAGAAAACUUAUCUGCCACGAUAAUUCAUGGGUUUCUAGAGCACUCCAUCAUACAGUGAGGAGACAGAAUAUUUUUCACCUGAAUUCAAAGUUUACUCAUUUUCCUUGAAUAAUACUGAAUCUAAACGAGCCCUGAAGACAAGCAAUGACAAAGAAAUGCACAUGUUUAUGCAGUCGAAUUUUCAACAGUCAAAUUGGCCAAAACCAUUUUAAUUUGAAGCUUUGGUGAGGAUGCAAAGCAGAAGCCUCUGGAGCAUACUGCUGGUGAGAGAGUCAUCUAGUCAUUUGUCCAGACUAGGAUUGACAUAGACAGAUAGUCUUAAAUUUUGUAAAGUUUUGACCCAUCAAAUCCACUUCUGGGGAUUUGUCCUAAGGAGAAACCUUCAGUAUACAGGACUGAAGGUGCAAGGGUGGCUAGGUCAGUGUUGCUCACAAAAUCCAACAAGUGUCAACAGUCUAGACACUCAGCCAAGUGGAAAAUCUGUCAAUAAUUUAUGGCAUUUACAUAAGAUAGAAUGCUGUGCAACCACCAAAAAUGGUAGAAUACCAUACGGAUGUAGGAAAUAAUCCUAAUAUGUUAGUGAAAAAGUGGAUGAAACAGUUUGUACAUUAUGGUGCUGAUUAGAUAAAAAUGCUUAUCUGUGCACAGAAAAUGCCUGAGCGGAUGUAUACCAAAAUGCCAGCCGUGAUUUUCUCUGAGGGGAGAACAUACAGUGAUUUUUUGUCUUUGUGCUGUUCUAUUUUUCCAAAGUUUCUUCACGGGUCUAUCAUAAUCAUUAUAUUUUUCUAAAAAGCAGUUCAAGAAAUAAUACUAAUAAUUUUAUCUAGGAACUGAGAAUAAUGGAGAGAGAUAGAUAUGUAAAUGAGAAGAAAUUUGGAAAACUGACUCUCCCAGAACUUCAAAGCCAUUAUUACAGUCUCCAAAUGUUACAAAUCCUUUGUAACAUACUGACUUCCUUAGUCACUGCCUAAUUAGAGGGGAGAUAGAUGAGUUUCUAUUACAGAUAAUGCAGUUAUUUAUAGUAACACUUAAUGUUAGAUCUUUACAGAUGAAUAAGCUUCUCCCUGGAUGCACAUUAGCAGUUUAGGCUGUGCUUUUACUUUUUAAAGGUGUUAUUUGGUGUACUGUGAAGGUGAAUUUAAGUGCCACCAUAGUAUAACUGAAAGAUAAGCUUCUCUGGGUUUGCUUAAUUUUUACCUCCUCUACGUAAACCUGCCAUUAGCCCUUUAUCUGUUUAAGCAAGCAAGCAACCAAACAGACUCUGAAGUGCCUGCCAGUUACUAGCUUUGCCACCUUAAGCCAGUUACUUGGACACAGUUGAAAAGGGAGCCAUAGCCAGCUACACAGGGGGUUGUGAUGAAACUUCAGCUGUAUGAGAAAGUGUAUGACCAAAUAGGAACAUAUAAGGAAAUCCUUUGUGAAAUGUAAAAUGGCAGUUUGAUGUAAUAAUAACUUAAUUUUUUUCCUUCUUCUCUCUCCUUCUCAACACUGUGCAUCACUUGUUCUGUGUUUGAGAAGUCGAGCUCAGGAAUAGCAUUUGCCUCUGUUUAAGAAAGAAGAGCCCUGCGCUUGGGGAAGUUCAGUUCAGAAGCUGCCUGAUCUUUUUGUUAUGAUGUAAUUCCAGCGAUGUGAGUAACUGUAUCUAGGAUCCUUCCUAUAUCUGGGUCAGUUAUCACUUUAUGGAAGGACGCAAAACAGAUGUUUCUGUUGGGAACAUUGAAUAUCCUCCUUCUAGAUAUUUGAAGUAUUUUGGAUUAUUAAUGGUGCCUCUGGGGAACAUUCUAUUUUCUGUCACUUUGGUUAUUCUUAUCGAUGUUUUCAAGGUAAGUCUGGCUGUCCCUGUAAGAUACAACCUCUUUUACUGGACCCAUUACUUUCAUCUUGACUGUUAGUGUUACAGUUGUUGCUUUCAUCCUUUUGUCACCCUUGUUCUCUUAGUGUCCCUGGAAGUCACCUGGUCUGAGCUCACAGACUCCCAAUAUGUGGGGAGACAACAGUACUGCCUUUAACCUGCACGGCAUUUGAAACAUUCCUUAUGGUGACUUUUAGAAUAUGGUCAUAAUAGAUCUCUAUAAUAAUAUGUAUGUGGGUGAGUUAAUUUCCUUUUAUAGAAGAUGCAUCUGAGACAUAGCAGGUCAAGGAACUUGACACUCAGCUUCUCUCCGUCCUAAAUCAGUGCUCUAUCCACUAGGUCAAUAGUUCUCAAAAUGUAGUCUCUGGUCCCAUGGUAUCAGCAUUGCUAACAAUGCUAUUUCUCAGGCCUUGCCCCAGAACCACCCUUAUGUAGCUGGUUCAUGGUUUCCUAUGGUAAAAAUUUAGCUAAUAUUGUCAGCGAAAUAGUCAACCUGACAAUGCCUAGUGAUAUUAAUCAUGCAGUAAAUGUGCAUUGGAUCCAAAACUUAAAUAUACAAGUUACUAUGAUUAUUGCAUUGCUUGUGGGAUAAGGUGUAUAUCUAUGUAGGCAUGCACAUAUGUGUGGAUUAGCUACAGUGACUUUCUGUAUAGGGGUUUAUAUUUGCAUUGACACAUUUUGUAUCUAGAGAGUUGAUAAGUAAUAGGGUUCCAAAAUUCCAUAGGACAUUUGUGUGCCUGGCUAGAUUUAUGUCAGAUACCUUUUCUGGGGAUCUUAUUGAGGACUAAAACAGAAAGAAUUCAUGGGCCCCACAGGAACUGCAUCAUCCCAAGCAGCGGGUCUUAAGCUUCACUGCACAUUAGCAUCACCCCAGGGAUUUUUUUAAAAAUUCUGAAGGCUGAGCCUCACUCCAGAGAUCCUGAACUAAUUGGUCUGGGGUGGGGCCUGGGCACCACUGUGUUUCAAGAGCUCCACAUAUGGAGUGUCACGUGUAGCAUUGAACAUGCAUCGGAAUCUCCUGGAGGGCUUGUUAUAAUCCUGUCCUUCCCCUCGCCCCAGAUUCCUGAUUCAGUGGCAAGGCCUGAGAAUUAGCAUUGCUGGCAGUGCUGAUACCAUGGGGCCAGAGACCACAUUUUGAGAACUACCGGCCUAGUGGAUAGAGCACUGAUUUAGGACAGAGAGAAGCUGAGUGACAAGUUUCUUGACCUACUGUGAUUCAGUUGUGUCUUUUAUAAAAGGAAAUUACUCAUCCACGUACUAAUUAUUGUAGAGAUUUAUUGCGACAAUAUUCUAAAAGUCACCAUAAGGAAUGUUUCAAAUGCCGCACAGGCUAAAGGCAGUACUGUUUGUUGUCUCCCCACAUAUUGGGAGUCUGUGAGCUCAGAGCAGGUGACUCCCAGGGACACUAAACAAGGAUGACAAAAGGAUGAAAGCAACAACCAUAACACCAGUAGUCAGGAUGGAAGUAAUGGGUCCAGUAAAAGAGGUUGUGUCUGACAGGGACAGCCGGCCUCACCUUGAAAACAUUGAUAGGAAUAACUGAAGUGACAGAAAAUAGAAAGUUUCCCAGGAGGCACCAGUAAUAAUAAUAAAUACUUCAAAUAGCUAAAAGGAUAUUGAAUGUUCCCAACAGAGAGAAAUGAUAAAUGUUUGAGAUGGCAGAUAGGCUAAAUGCUUUGAUCUGAUCACUAUACAUUAUAUCUAUUGAAACAUCACUAUUUACCCCAUGGAUAAGUACAAUUAUUAUGUGACAAUUACAAAAUAAAAUUUAAUUAAAAAAUAUAUAUUGUAAUGAUGCCCCCAAAAGCACUCCAGCAUUCAUUUGUUAGAAUCACCCCAAAUAGGCCUUAAACGUAAACUAUUCAUAAAGCUUUAAAAUACACUACAGCAGAAUCAAUCGUGACCACUGAUAAAGAUGUUCAUAAGGAGAUGUGCAAGUGGACAAAAAAAUCAAUAUACAAUAUAAUGUGAUAGGAAAUGUAAUAGUGGUGAGUGAAAAUUAAGAGCCCAGAGGAGAGGCUCUUCCUGGAGCCUAGUCUAGGUGGGAUAGAAGUGACAUUGGAAUUGAUCCUUGAAGGAAAUGUAGUGUUCAUCAGACCCCAAAGAAGGGGGUGGGGGGUGGGGAGUAGAACUGUCAGAAAAUAGAAGCUUCUCCCCUAGGUGUGCUUCAUAGGCCUAGCACCCUGCCUUCCAAACGGUCAUCGACUGCAAGUUAACUGCGACAUUAACCUAAACGAACUGUGGAUGCCGACAAGCAGGGCAGUAAGGAAAUGCCCCAAGGGCAAGACACCAGUGCAAAGGCUGAGCCGCCCUGGCUGCAGCUUGUGAUUGCAACUCCUCCUACCAAUAGGGCAGUCUGAAGUCAGCACCUUAAAGAGAAGACUGGAUUAGAGGCAAAAGAAGGAUUUCUGUGACUUGGGGCAGGCAAUGGAGGUAGUGGAGAAUCUCCUUUCUAGUCAUAAUAAUAAUAAACAGAACAAAAGUCAGCUUUGGGGAGCGGCUUAGGAUGCCCUGUAAGAAGAUGUGGAGAAGGACUGGGUUUCUUAUCAAGUACUAUUCCCAGUUUUGUAAUUCUAGAUUUGCGUUGUAUCAGUGGCAAUGUUUCCACGUAGAGACGGUUUAAAGAUAGAAGAGCUGUUUCUUCAAGUACAAAAGAAGAAUAAAUGGAACUACUUAAAAAGAUAGAAGAACUAAAUUGAAAUUUUAAAUUAAAAACUCUCCAUUACCAGAAAUGGUUGGGAUAGAAGAGUUUGACUAGUUUAUGCCGUACAGUCCCUGCACAAGUUAUCAAAGUUUAAAAACUGGCAUUACCGUGUAAUAUACCAAGUUCCAGCGAUACUAUGAAUAAUUCCUUCCGUGACGACCCAGAGCACCCUUUCGGGAUCUCCCGUGCAUGGGCGUCUCCAUGUCGGGUCUCACGGUGGGGUGGUGGGACAGCAGGUGGAGGCAGGGGACAUCGGGGCGUACUGACCGCAGGACGGUUGCUUGAACGUUGCUUUUGGAAUAAAUCCCUUCACCUUGAAGAUGUCCUCAGGGCAGGAGGAAUGGGAGCAAACCUGACUUCCCUGUGUAGGGAUUACUUCCCAGGCUGCUUCUAGUCAUUUCUGGGAAAGGGACAGUUUCCUACCUGUCGGCGACAGGGGGGGAGGGUGGGCACUCUGAGACGCAGGAGCAGCGGCGAACCGGUGCCCAGGAAGCACACUCAGGUCUACACCUGGCGUUCCCUGGCCGGAAGCGCAGAGGCUGGAGCAAGCCCCAUGCUGGAGACGUCGCACGUAGGGCACGUACGUACUGCGUGUCAGAGUGACGCAGAGCGUCAGCCACGUACGUACUGCGUGUCAGAGUGACGCAGAGCGUCAGCCACAGUUUGAAGGAAGAAGGUCGAGAGCAACACCAGGCUCAACUGACGAAGUCCAGGAACUUACACUUUCUAUGCUAGGUACUAGUGAUUCAGCCAUGAACAACAGUGGCCAUAAUGAAAAAGACCUGCCUCCAUGGAGCUUACCUCCUGGCCAGGGGAGACGAACAAUAAACAAAUAAGUAAAAUGUUUAGUAAUUAAUAUACUAAACACUUAGUGUAUUAACUAUCGUGUCAAAUAAGUGACAUGGAGAAAAAUAAAGUACAGAUGCGAGGUACUGAGGAGUGGCAAUGCUGGCCAGUUUUGAAUAGUGUGGUCAGGGAAGACCUUAUCAAGGUGAUAUUUGAACAGAGACCUGAAAAAGAUGAUUGAAUGAGCCGAGUGGACACGCGGGAGAAGAGCGUCCCUGCAUCAGCAUGAAGCCCAUGCACAGCCCAAGGCAGGAGUGUGUCUGGCUCCUUCAAAUAACAUGGUGGUGGCCAUUGUUCAUGGAGCAGGAAAGCCAUGGUGGACAAUAAUGUGAUCUGAGACCAGAGAAAUGGCAGAGGUUAGGUGAUGCAGAGCUCCAUAGGCCAUUGUGAGGACUUGCGAAACGAGGUGGGAAGCCAAUGGCAGAGUUGAUAGCACAGUUGUGAAAAACUACUAUGUGUUUAUGUUUUAAAGGAUGGCUUUCUCUGCUGUGUUGAGAAUAGGCUGUACAGGGGCAAGUGCUGCAGUGAAGAGAACAGUUAUGAGGCCCCUGCAAUAAUCUAGGCCAGAGACGCUAGAGUAAGAGACUCAGCAAUCCACAACACACCUACUUCUGGCCCAUUUGGAGCAGACGGAUGCCUUGAUGCACCAGUUGGGAAGUUCUGCUCUGCAGGGGGCAGAGACUGUGCCGAAGUUUUGGAGGCAGGGAAGUUCAAGAUCAAGGCACCGGCUGAUUCCUGUUCGUAGACAGCCAUCUUAAGUUUACAUGGUGGAAUGAAUGAAGGAGCUCUGUGGGCCUCUUUCAUAAGGACACUAAUCACCUCCCAAAGGUCCCACUUCCUAAUACCAUCACCUUAUGGGGGGGGAUUUCUACAUAUAUUCAGCCCAUAGCAUUCAUUCAUCUAGGGAUAGCAUGGGAGAAAUGCUUAAAAUAUGAUUUAGUGCAUUUUAUUGUUAUAGAAUAUUGUUGCUUUUUAAAAAUAUAGCCUAAAUAUCACAAAACCUUUUCUAACCUGGAGAUAACAGCAAACUCUCAGCAGCCAGCAUAGUUUGGAACACAGCUCAUUUAGAUAGCUAUUUUUAGAUGCUUUUAUUAUGUCUGACUUUAUAUUUAACAAGUGUCCUGUCAAAUCAUGGUACAUGUUUCAUUUCAUGUACUUACAAAGUGACAGGAACUUAAAAUUUUUUUAAAUAAGAGGUAGUAUUAUAGAAUAGUUUAUGUAAUGAGAAAACUUACCCUGGAAACACGUUUAUAGUAGCUAAACAGCAAUUAGUAUAUGUACUCAUAUAUUUCUAGUAUAUUUUUGUAAAGCUAUUCAAGUGACUAUGCUUUUUAAACAAGAUGUUCUUAUGUUUUAUUCAUACUUCUGAAUAAUAUAUCUUGUUAGCACAUACUACGUGUCAUUCUGACAGUUUAUUUUUGAUCGUUUUAAUGAGCUAUUUUGAAUAACCAUUUCUUUAAAUGUACUCUCAAGGAACAGAUCAACAGCAGUAAAUAUUCCCCAAAUCAGUUCUGAAUUAUUAUUUAAACUCUGUGAAAAAAAUUUUUUUAUGUCUUGGAAUGAUUUAAGCUCUGAAGAGUGAAUACAUAGAAUUCUGUAAUUCUAUAUGUUGUACUAGAUCUCAGGCAUUUAGAGUCCUGUUGAAUUGGCUGUUGGAGCUGUCCAUGGUGUUCUGUUAUAGAGUUUGAAAUAUUUCCUAAGCAAGUAGUUCUGAAACACUUUGGUUUCAGGACCUCUUCAUACUCUUAAAAUAACUGAGGACCCAAAAAGAAGUAUUUUGUGUCAGUUGUAUUUACCAAUAUUUAUGUUAUUUGAAAUUAAA